AGAAAAGCCAUUGUUUGCUCGUUAUCUUGCGGAAUACAGAGAAGCAGCUGUACAAGAAAAAGAAUUGAUUCCUUUGUCUGUGUUGGUCCUUGGAAAUUUCUCGGCUAAAUUCUGUUCGGCCGAUUAUUUUUUAAUGAACAACAAGUUUCCUAGUUCGGAAGGCACCUGUUAUGUUUUUAACCUUCGAUUUAAUCGAACCUCUUGGAACGAUCCUCUUAUAUCAACUAGAGCUUCUCCGAUGCCAACUGCUUCAUUCUUGAUAGAUUUUAUGCCGCAAGAAUAUUUUUUUCCACACUUACAAGUAGAAGGAAAUUUCGCAA